rnacentral:rRNA from 1 species
UACGUAGGGCGCAAGCGUUGUCCGGAAUUAUUGGGCCUAAAGCAUCCGUAGCCGGUUCUACAAGUCUUCCGUUAAAUCCACCUGCUUAACAGAUGGGCUGCGGAGGAUACUAGAGAGCUAGGAGGCGGGAGAGGCAAGCGGUACUUAGUGGGUAGGGGUAAAAUCCGUUGAUCCAUUGAAGACCGCCAGUGGCGAAGGCGGCUUGCCAGAACGCACUCGACGGUGAGGGAUGAAAGCUGGGGGAGCAAACCGG